GAGACACUGGAAUGGAAAUGCCCAUCUAAAAAACGCCUAAGCGCAAAAAGCCCUCUUCGGACAUUUGCGGCGUCGGGCUGGUUUCUCUUUCUUUUCCCCGGCAAGAAGCUUCGGGACGAAGACACUCCGCUCUCCGACUCUCAACUGCAGUUUCUUUUGCGAGCAUGGCAAAAGCCAAAGGCAAGGAGAAGCCUGCUGCUUCCAAUGCACCACCAGAACUGGAGACCACUAAAGAUGACACCAACGCUGAGUCAAUGAACAUGGAAAAAGCUGCAAAAAUCACUGCUGAUCCUGGAUGUGAGAAGGCAGGGGAAGGACAUAAGAAAAAGACAUUGAAGAAGAGAGGAAAGAAGAUAAGAAAGAGAAGGUCUAUAAAGGUAACAAAGAGGAGGUAGAAGGAGAUAAAGAAGUCAAGGAUAGUGGAGAAGUGGAAGCUUUAGUAUUCACCACCGUUGCACUUCAAGAUGAAAAGGUGGACGACGCAAAUACGAAAAAGUGUUUGAAGUUGAUGGAAAAGUAGAAG